rnacentral:rRNA from 1 species
UACGGGGGGAGCAAGCGUUGUUCGGAUUUACUGGGCGUAAAGGGCGCGUAGGCGGUCGUGACAAGUCACUUGUGAAAUCUCCGGGCUUAACUCGGAACGGUCAAGUGAUACUGUCGGACUAGAGUACAGAAGGGGCAACUGGAAUUCUCGGUGUAGCGGUGAAAUUCGUAGAUAUUCGGAAGAACACCAGUGGCGAAGGCGACUCGCUGGACAAGUAUUGACGCUGAGGUGCGAAAGCGUGGGGAGCAAACAGG